rnacentral:rRNA from 1 species
GUCGCUGGCGGCACGCCUUAUACAUGCAAGUCGAACGAAGUAGCAAUACUUAGUGGCAGACGGGUGAGUAACAUGUAGGUAUCUACCCUUUGGUGAGGAAUAACACGAGGAAACUUGUGCUAAUACUUCAUAAGUCUUUACGGAGAAAGCUUUAUGCGCCGAAGGAUGAGCCUGCACUUGAUUAGUUUGUUGGUGGGGUAAUGGCCUACCAAGACUUUGAUCUAUAGCUGAUCUGAGAGGAUGAUCAGCCACAUUGGGACUGAGACACGGCCCAGAC